rnacentral:rRNA from 1 species
UACGUAGGUGGCAAGCGUUGUCCGGAUUUAUUGGGCGUAAAGCGAGCGCAGGCGGUUGAUUAAGUCUGAUGUGAAAGCCCCCGGCUCAACCGGGGAGGGUCAUUGGAAACUGGUCAACUUGAGUGCAGAAGAGGAGAGUGGAAUUCCAUGUGUAGCGGUGAAAUGCGUAGAUAUAUGGAGGAACACCAGUGGCGAAGGCGGCUCUCUGGUCUGUAACUGACGCUGAGGCUCGAAAGCGUGGGGAGCGAAC